CUGUCUUCAGUUGCAGCCAGAAAAAACUCAGGUGUGAUGGUACAGUCUUAAAGGUUAUUUUAGGAUUGUACCUCUGCUGAGAGACCAAACUUCAAACAAAUGCAGCUUUUCAUGUGCCUGUGGGAUGGAGGUCACAAGAACAGAUGUGUGAACAUGUCCCCUUCCUUUGAAUUCACCUCCUGCAUUUGAAAUAUAUCCAUGCAGUAGGAUUACUUGUGUGCUGAAUUGUGUGUAAAAAGUUCUACAGCUUUGGGAACUCAAUGGAAAAGCAAACUAUGGAAAAAUCAGGCAGUCCCAUGCUUCACCUACAGCCACUCCACCCACUUCAGUCACCUGCAACAGAGCUCUGAGAUGAUUCUGGUUUCCACUUAGGCAACAAUGGCAGCAACUUUUCUGGACCAAGAACGUGACUUCAAAAAAUGUAUCCAGGCACCAGUUUAUCUAAUGUUCCAGACUAAUUGAGAGUGGAUUUCCAAGAAGAAAAAGGAAGAACAUGUUCAUGACCACAGACACCUCCUCACCUGUUUAUGAAAGACAACACAGGCUCUGCAGGACAGAAAAAAAUAUUGCGGAGGAGAUGGACAGCCCUAUCCCAAGCUGUGAGUUGCGCUCAGGACAGAGGUAAUGGAGGCAGCAGAGAACCUGUCCUUUGUGUACAGGGCCAAGUCUCUCCUGCUGUAGCAGACAGGUGUCCCCAAAGGUGGGGAAGGGCUGGAGAGAGCAGAUCUGCUCUACAAUCUGGGGUCCUGGGAACUGGACGUGUGACCAAGGAUUCUCACCUCUGUGUCCAGGAGAUUUGAGGUCCUUUGAAACCACUGGAUGCAGCAAUUCACGAUUAGAAACGUUGCAAUUGGACAGUUUAUAAAACAGAGCGUACAAGGACAACCAAGAAACUGGGAUGGUCAUGCAAAACUGCUAAAGACAACCAGGAAAAGACCAUAAAGGAUUUCCCCAUAACAUGGGGACCAUAACAUGGUCCUUCUAAGGAGCACUUUCUGAGACAUUUCUAAGGGAGAAGACCUUUAAGAGCUUAGCCAGUCUUUUAAGAGACUUUUGUUUUUAUUUUCAUUCUCUGAAAAUCAUUCAUAAAUUCCUAUUAAAAGUUCAUGAGGCUGCCAGGCUACAAACAAGGACACCAAAACACUAAGGAAAAAAGGAAAAAAUUAUUAUAAUAAAAUACAUGCUCUCUUCUGACUCUUACCUACUUCUGACUUCCUGAUCUUUCAAGGUCAACUGCAGAUCCAAAGAAUGAUCUCAUGUCCUGCCUCUACAGCCUGGCACUGCUGCCAGGACCCCUCUCACAGCCAAGACUCAAUGAAGUUUCAGCCCCAUGCUCUGCCCCUGCAAAACUUGCCCUCACCCAGAGAAAGGUGCAUGGCUGGCCAGGGACCAGCACAGGAUGAACCCAGACAGCUCAAUUUUCUUCCCUUUUCACUUUCUCUGUGACUCCUGGAAUGUGUUUGCACAUAGUGGAAAAAAUGCAGAGGAGGGAGAAGCAGCCAGGAACAUCACCCUCCUUGCCGGCGCUCAGCUCUGGGGUUGGUAGCUUGUGCCAGCAUUGGUAGCCAAAAAAGUUGGAGGAGACCCUGACGCCUGGAGUAGGUGAAGCACAGAUUAGAUUAACUUUUUGGGGUAAUCGUUUAUUUUUUAAUUAAAAAAGAAAAAUGUAUAAUCUUCACAAACUUAGUUAACACAGGCUUGCAGUGAGAAGCGAAAUCUGUUUUGAUCAGAAAACUGGCUUGCAAUGACUACAAAAUUUUUCACAAACUUUCAAACCCAUCUUUUCCUCCCCUUUUUCAUUAAUGGGCAUCUUUUAUCCUGUCCUAAGCAACAGCAACCAGACUAAUUAGUUUAACAAGUACAACAAAUGGUUUUAUUGACAAAAAAGAACCCUUUGAUAUAUACAUUACAUUCACAGAGGAUUAAAUUACACCCUAUUAUCCAUUUUCCAUAAAAUAAAGAUUACUUUGAUAAAUCACAACUAAUGUUAUCUUUGGCUGAUAAGAACUCAGUACUUAUUUGUGUGGCUUCUAUAAAUAGUGUGUUCUGAUUUUUUUUCCUCCCUAAAAUAGUCAGUGAUACAGUCUGCCAGGCAUUUUCCUGCAAUUUGACAAUGCCACAUCUGUGAACCAAGCAGCAAGUGAAAGCUUCAUUGUCUGAAUAUGAAACAUGCAACAGUCUCUUUCUUUUCUGCCAGCUCCUCUGCAGUAAUCUAUCAAACACCUUUCAGCCACAUCUUGUUCCAUCAAGGUUUCCUUACUACUAAAGCAAGGUAGUCAAAACAAACUCCUUUUAUUAAGAGCAAAGCCUUUGUGGUUCAUCUUUCCAUUGUAUGCAAAGUCAGUGUGACAACUGUAGCAUGAGGGGGUUCUACCCUCAUUUCAGCCUUAAUACACACAAGAUACAUAAAAUAAUGGACAAAAUUGUGCAUUUUCAGGUGUAAAGGGCUCCCCUGUAAAAGCCUUUCCUUAGCUUUGAACCAGAGGGUUCUGCAGACUGUUGGAGAUCUACUGGCACUAUCUCCGGGUGGAUAAACAGUUGGUGGAGGAUCAAGCCAUGAGCAAUGUCCUGUGUUUACUUCAGACCUGCAUUAGCACUGCACAAAGUGCCUCUUUACUAAAGGACGGAGGUAGUUAGGAUAUUGGAAAAGGAUCUUGGUGUGCCAAGGGGUUCACCCACAUUUUGAGCAUUUGGUAACAAUGUACACCAGGCACAGACAUCCCCACUGGAUCACAGCUCAGCCGCCUCACUGGGCAACCAACAGCUGAGCACAGCACAGCAGCACACGAGCACCUUCAAAAACUUCCAAGGAGUUUGAUUCUGAACAACUGAAGCCCAUUUCCUACUGCGUAGUGGACCACCAGAGAGAUCUGCCCUGCCACAUGAAUGGCAUUGCCUCUCCUAUCCCUCAGGACAAAUAUCCAAGCUCAAAUUAAUUUCCCAUUUUUUGAAGUUCUUUCAAGAAACACAUUUGUUCUGAGUUCAACUACUGCUUUGUAUGCACUGGCUGACUCAAAGCAUCUCA